AUAACUUUAAGUUAAGGAAACUGUAAACCUUCAAAGUUUAAUAUAAUGUAAUGUUAAGUUAUG
rnacentral:tRNA from 2 species